CUGUUUGGGGAUGAGCCCGCGUACCAUUAGCUUGUUGGUGAGGUAAAAGCUCACCAAGGCUGCGAUGGUUAGCUGGUCUGAGAGGAUGAUCAGCCACACUGGAACUGACACACGGUCCAGACUCCUACGGGAGGCAGCAGUGAGGAAUUUUGUGCAAUGGGGGAAACCCUGACGCAGCAACGCCGCGUGAGUGAAGAAGGCUUUCGGGUCGUAAAGCUCUGUCAAGUGGGAAGAACCUGUUUGAUGUUAAUAUCAUCAAGCACUGACGGUACCACUGAAGGAAGCACCGGCUAACUCCGUGCCAGCAGCCGCGGUAAUACGGGGGGUGCGAGCGUUAUUCGGAUUUACUGGGCGUAAAGGGCGCGUAGGCGGUCACUUAAGUCAGAUGUGAAAGCCCGGGGCUUAACCCCGGAACUGCAUUUGAAACUAAGUGACUUGAGUAUGGGAGAGGGAAGUGGAAUUCCUGGUGUAGCGGUGAAAUGCGUAGAUAUCAGGAGGAACACCGGUGGCAAGGCGACUUCCUGGACCAAUACUGACGCUGAGGCGCGAAGGCGUGGGGAGCAAACAGGAUUAGAUACCCUGGUAGUCCACGCAGUAAACGGUGAACACUGGGUGUAGCGGGUAUUGACCCCUGCUGUGCCGCAGCUAACGCAUUAAGUGUUCCGCCUGGGAAGUACGAUCGCAAGAUUAAAACUCAAAGGAAUUGACGGGGGCCCGCACAAGCGGUGGAGCAUGUGGUUUAAUUCGACGCAACGCGAAGAACCUUACCUGGAUUUGACAUCCCGGGAAUUCCGUGGAAACAUGGAAGUGCCCUUCGGGGAACCCGGUGACAGGUGCUGCAUGGCUGUCGUCAGCUCGUGUCGUGAGAUGUUGGGUUAAGCCCCGCAACGAGCGCAACCCCUAUCUUUAGUUGCCAGCAUUCAGUUGGGGACUCUAGAGAUACUGCCCCGGUCAACGGGGAGGAAGGUGGGGAUGACGUCAAGUCCUCAUGGCCCUUAUGUCCAGGGCUACACACGUGCUACAAUGGGCUGUACAAAGGGUAGCGAUCUCGCGAGAGUGAGCCAAUCUCAGAAAACAGCUCCCAGUUCGGAUUGGAGUCUGCAACUCGACUCCAUGAAGUUGGAAUCGCUAGUAAUCGUGGAUCAGCAUGCCACGGUGAAUACGUUCCCGGGCCUUGUACACACCGCCCGUCACACCAUGAGAGUUGGUUGUACCCGAAGUUGCUGGACCAACCUACUCAGGAGGUAGGCACCUAAGGUAUGAUCGAUGAUUGGGGUGAAGUCGUAACAAGGUA
rnacentral:rRNA from 1 species